ensembl:snoRNA
CCUCUAUUCUUGGCAUGCACACGUUUUCCUCGUGUGUUAUGGAGGAACAAAAUGCCAAGUGCUAUGUCUUCAGUACCAGCAUGUUUCUCGUUUUCUGGUUCUAUCCUCAAUCACUGGUACACUA